AUGCCACGCUCUCCUUCUCGUUGGCAUCGUGCUGACGGCGUGGCUACGCGGGUGCAUGGCGACCGACGGGUUUACCGUGGAGUUGAUCCACCGGGACUCUGUCAGUCGCCGUUCCAUGACCCGUCGCUCACCUCACACGCCCGCCUGCUUGCCGCCGUGCGGCGUUCCACGGCGCGCGCCUCGGCUCUCGCGCGCUCGUACGCCGGCGACUCUCCUCACGGCGCCGUGUCGGAGGUCGUCUCCAGGCCGUACGAGUACUUCAUGUACGUCAACGCGGGCACGCCGCCCACCAGGAUGCUCGCCGUCGUCGACACCGGCAGCAGCCUCAUCUGGCUUAAAUGCACCAACUCCGGCGUGUGCCACGCACUCUACGGCACCUGCGGUGCCAACUCCAGCUGCAAGUACGCCCACUUCUACGCCGACGGCUCGCAGACAUCCGGCCUCCUCUCCGCCGAGACUUUCAUCUUCGCCGAUGCCCCCGGCGGUUGCGUGGGGUGCCCCGACCGUCCGCAGCUGCUCGUGCCAAGGGUCAACUUCGGCUGCUCCACGGCCGGCGCGGCCUUCCCGGACGGCGUCCACGGCAUCGUCGGUCUCGACAGCGGCGACCUCUCCCUCGUCACGCAGCUCGGCGCCGACACGUCCAUGGGCCGGGAGCAACUACAAUAG
rnacentral:rRNA from 1 species